GACGAACGCUGGCGGCGUGCUUAACACAUGCAAGUCGAACGGUAAGGCCCUUCGGGGUCCACGAGUGGCGAACGGGUGAGUAACCCGUGGGUGAUCUACCCUGCACUUCGGGAUAAGCCUGGGAAAAUGGGUCUAAUCCCGGAUAGGACCCUGGGAUGCAUGUCCUGGGGUGGAAAGCUUUUGCGGCGUGGGGUGGGCCCGCGGCCUAUCAGCUUGUUGGUGGGGUGAUGGCCUACCAAGGCGACGACGGGUAGCCGGCCUGAGAGGGUGACCGGCCACACUGGGACUGGGAUACGGCCCAGACUCCUACGGGAGGCAGCAGUGGGGAAUAUUGCACAAUGGGCGCAAGCCUGAUGCAGCGACGCCGCGUGAGGGAUGACGGCCUUCGGGUUGUAAACCUCUUUCAGCACCGACGAAGCGCAAGUGACGGUAGGUGCAGAAGAAGGACCGGCCAACUACGUGCCAGCCGCCGCGGUAA
rnacentral:rRNA from 1 species